rnacentral:tRNA from 7 species
UGCUCUCUAGCUCAGUUGGUAGAGUGUAAGACUCUUAACCUUGAGGUUGUGGGUUCAAGCCUCACCGUCGCUG